UACAGAGGGGGCAAGCGUUGUUCGGAAUUACUGGGCGUAAAGGGCGCGUAGGCGGCCUUCUAAGUCGAACGUGAAAUCCCCGGGCUCAACCCGGGAACUGCGUCCGAUACUGGAAGGCUUGAAUCCGGGAGAGGGAUGUGGAAUUCCAGGUGUAGCGGUGAAAUGCGUAGAUAUCUGGAGGAACACCUGCGGCGAAGGCGGGUUGCUGGGCUGACACUGACGCUGACGCGCGAAAGCUAGGGGAGCGAACGGG
rnacentral:rRNA from 1 species